CAUGGCCUCCCUCUUUCCUGCGUUACCCGGACUACGAGGGAUCAUGGUAGUCGCUAUUUCUGGCUUUGAGUUUUCCACCUCCGUAAGCUCUCACACUGCCAAUCUGCAUUGUCUCAUGAAGAACCACUUGGAAUCUCCCUGAGGUCCAGAAAACAUGUCUGUCUUCAGCUGCCAGGCCCAUCUUUUGUGUAUCUGUUUUUGCAGUUCAAGGUCAGUCUACAGCAGAAGCAAGAGGCAUCCUCUUGAUGGAUCAGAGGGCACAAAGGACCAAGAUGGGAGAACUUGCAAACAAGGAAGAGCAAGAAAAUUCUUAUUUAUCUCCCAAUCUCCACCCUGAGUUCUGCUCUCCUAAGUGUCCCUUUCACAGGGAUGCACCUGAUCUACUUUCAAGCCUGGGUUUUCCCUUCUUGAUUAAGCUACUCUCCAAACACCCUCCUAGAGCUACAUCUCCUAGGCAAUUCCAAACCCCAUCCACUUGACAACCAAGAUUGGCCAGCAAAGAUGGUAAAUUGUAUGCUGUGUUUAUUUUACCACGGUGCUAUUCUGUUUUGGUUUUGUACAUGGGAAAAACCUGUUUUCCUUGAAGGUUGGGAGACUGUCUCACUGUUUGAUAUGUGAGUGCACUGUCACUGUCUUCAGGCACACAGAAAAAGGGCAUCAGAUCCCAUUACAGAUGGUUGUGAGCUACCAUGUGGUUGCUGGGAACUGAACUCAGGACCUCUGGAAGAGCAGUCAGUGCUCCUAACUGCUGAACCAUCUCUCCAGCCCACUUUCCAUGCUUUAUAGCAGGUUGUCACAGAAAUGAUGCUUUUAGCAUAUGAAGUAAACUAAAGGUAGAACAUAGACUUGCUCCUUCUUGUAGUUCUACAUUUCAGAUUUAUCAAGCUCCUUGAUGAAAAAGCAGAAGUCAGUAGUGUGUUUACUUGCUUCAAGGGACAGAUGAUGUGAGAGUUUAAGAACACAGGAUUUCCCCACCCCAAUAACUAAAUACUUUAUUGAAUAACUACAAUACCAACAAAAUGUAUUCAAAUUUUCUCUAAAAAAAAAAAAAUCAAUUUAAAGGCCUUUCUAGUCAGGCUAAUGACAAACACAAUAAAGGCAGAUAUGCUAGUUUAACAUAAUUGGCUGAUUUUAUACAACACUUAAUUCUUUUAGUCCACAAGUUUAUUAUUAAAUGAUAGAGAACAUCUAAUACAACCAUUUCUACAUAACUAGCAAAUGAGUUUCU